AAAUGUUGCAAUCGACUUCCCGAUGGGGUCCAAAUUUUGGACAUGCCUUGUAACCGAUAAAUUUUAGGGGGAAACAUAAAAUG
rnacentral:sRNA from 2 species